rnacentral:rRNA from 1 species
CUACGGGAGGCUCCAGGUAGGAAUCUUUUGCAAUGCGCGCAAGCGUGACAAAGCGAGCCAAAGUGUUUUUCCUUUUUGGAAAAACUUUUGCCAGCUGUAAAAAGGCUGGCGAAUAAGGACUGGGCAAGACCGGUGCCAGCCGCCGCGGUAAUCCCGGCAGUUCAAGUCGCAGCCAACUUUAUUGGGUCUAAAACAUCCGUAGCUUGCUGUAUCAGUCUGUUGUGAAAUUCUGUCUCUUAAGGGCAGAGAUUGCAAUGGAUACUGUACGGCUAGAGACCGGUGGACGUAAGGAGUACAUUCGAGGUAGUGGUAAAAUACGUUAAUCUCGAGUGGACUAACACCAGCGAAGGCACCUUACGAUGACGGUUCUGACAGUGAGGGAUGAAGGCUAGGGGCGCAAAAUGGAUUAGAUACCCUUGUAGUC